AUUGAACGCUGGCGGCAUGCCUUACACAUGCAAGUCGAACGCGAAAGGGGGGCAACUCCUGAGUAGAGUGGCGCACGGGUGAGUAAUACAUCGGAACGUGUCCUGUAGCGGGGGAUAACCUAGCGAAAGCUAGGCUAAUACCGCAUACGUCCUAAGGGAGAAAGUGGGGGAUCGUAAGACCUCACACUAUAGGAGCGGCCGAUGCCGGAUUAGCUAGUUGGUGGGGUAAAAAGCUCACCAAGGCGACGAUCCGUAGCUGGUCUGAGAGGAUGAUCAGCCACACUGGGACUGAGACACGGCCCAGACUCCUACGGGAGGCAGCAGUGGGGAAUAUUGGACAAUGGGCGCAAGCCUGAUCCAGCAAUACCGCGUGUGUGAAGAAGGCCCUAGGGUUGUAAAGCACUUUCAAUGGGGAGGAAAAGAGUAAGCUAAUACCUUGCUUAUUGACAUUACCCAUACAAGAAGCACCGGCUAACUCCGUGCCAGCAGCCG
rnacentral:rRNA from 1 species